UACGGGAGGCAGCAGUGGGGAAUAUUGCACAAUGGGCGCAAGCCUGAUGCAGCCAUGCCGCGUGUAUGAAGAAGGCCUUCGGGUUGUAAAGUACUUUCAGUCGUGAGGAAGGUGUUAAGGUUAAUAACCUUAGCAAUUGACGUUAGCGACAGAAGAAGCACCGGCUAACUCCGUGCCAGCAGCCGCGGUAAUACGGAGGGUGCGAGCGUUAAUCGGAAUUACUGGGCGUAAAGGGCACGCAGGCGGUUAAUUAAGUUGGAUGUGAAAUCCCCGGGCUUAACCUGGGAAUGGCAUUCAAGACUGGUUAGCUAGAGUCUUGUAGAGGGGGUAGAAUUCCAUGUGUAGCGGUGAAAUGCGUAGAGAUGUGGAGGAAUACCGGGUGGCGAAGGCGGCCCCUGGGACAAAGGCUGACGCUCAUGUGCGAAAGCGUGGGGAGCAAACGAGGA
rnacentral:rRNA from 1 species